rnacentral:rRNA from 1 species
AACGAACGCUGGCGGCAUGCCUAACACAUGCAAGUCGAACGAGACCUUCGGGUCUAGUGGCGCACGGGUGCGUAACGCGUGGGAAACUGCCCUUAGGUUCGGAAUAACUCCCCGAAAGGGGUGCUAAUACCGGAUAAUGUCUUCGGACCAAAGGUUUAUCGCCUUUGGAUGGGCCCGCGUUGGAUUAGCUGGUUGGUAGGGUAAAAGCCUACCAAGGCGACGAUCCAUAGCUGGUCUGUGAGGCUGAUCAGCCACACUGGGACUGAGACACGGCCCAGACUCCUACGGGAGGCAGCAGUGGGUAAUAUUGGACAAUGGGCGAAAGCCUGAUCCAGCAAUGCCGCGUGAGUGAUGAAGGCCUUAGGGUUGUAAAGCUCUUUUACCCGGGAUGAUAAUGACAGUACCGGGAGAAUAAGCUCCGGCUAACUCCGUG